CAAUGUGGCCAGAGUGGAGGCGUGAGGAGAGGCCGGGAGGGCGGCCUAGGCCGGCCCCAGGCCACCCUAGGCCGCCCUAGGCCGCCCUAGGCCGCCCUGGCCAACACACUCCUCACUAUCACACCAAAACUGGCCCAAAAUGGCGGAGGUGUAGUGGUGUAGUGAGUUAUGUUAGCGUGACCCCGCUUCUCUUGGCCGCUCCUCCUGCUGUAGGCUACAGUGCUGUAGGCUACAGGCGCGGGAUACAGUGUGUGGCGGUUUGGAGAGGUGACAUGAACAGAUCCAUUGUAACCAUGUCCCACCACAUAAAAGAGGAGGUGGUGGAGUUUAUGGAUGACGGCUCCGAGCAUGCGAGUGUGGUGGUUGUGGAGGAAGGCGGCGGAGCGGUGACUCUGGAGCUGCCAGACGGAACACAAGCCAUUGUACAUAAUGCCAUAACAGACGAAGCUCAAGAUGAUAUGGAAGGAGUUGCCAUUCAGUUGGAUGACGGCAGAAUUGGGUACCUGUACGGUGAUACUUUGUUGCAAGCCGUGUCUGAUGACCAGGACCAGCCUCUUCCCAACAACAGUGGCAAAUUCCUCUGUUGCUUCCCAGACUGUGAGAAGUCCUAUUCUUCUUUACAUCACCUGAAGACUCACCAACGAAACCACACCGGUCAGCGGCCGCACGCUUGCGAUGUGUGCAAAAAAUGUUUUACAACUGGAUAUGCGCUCAAGUCUCAUUUACGCACUCACACUGGAGAGAAACCCUACCAGUGUCCAGAAGAACAGUGUGGAAAAUGUUUCAAAACCUCCGGUGAUCUCCAGAAACACGUUCGAACACACACAGGAGAACGCCCGUUCAAGUGCGGCAUGUGUGACAAGUCCUUCACGACAUCAAAUAUAAGGAAAGUGCACAUGAGAGUUCACACUGGUGAGAAGCCAUAUGAAUGCAAAUAUGAUGGAUGUGGAAGGAAAUUUGCUUCAGCAACAAAUUACAGGAAUCAUUGUAGAAUUCAUACUGGAGAGAAACCAUACGUGUGCUCUGUUGAGAACUGUGGUAAAAGGUUCACGGAGUACUCGUCCCUAUACAAGCACCACAUGGUUCACAACCAGCAGAAGAAGUACUUCUGCACGCAGUGCGGCAGGUUUUAUCGACAGCUCUCAACUUUUGCGGUUCAUAAGCGUACUGUGCACAACAUUAUAGAGAAUGAUGAUGGUCAAGUGUUGUGGAUGGGCGGAGGACUAGAAAUGGACUUGUUAGCGGAGGAUCAAGAUGGCACCGUUGUAAAUUCUCACAUAGCUUCAGCAAGUACGUCGGCGAACACGAGAACUGUGCACAUUUCACCUGGAAUGGUGAUCAAAAAGGAGGAGCAGAUCAUCUCUGAUAAUAUACUAGAUACACAGUUGACUAUAGAAGAAGAGUGUAUUAGAAUGCCAAGUGUAGAAGUUAGCAAUCUUAUAGCGGAAGAUCCACCAAGUGACAGUUUUAUACAAGAUGAUCGUGGAUCAACUCUAACCAACCUGGAGCUAGAUGGAAAUGAAAGUGGAUCCAUCUUUGUGUUCACAGAUCCAUCACAACUUGCAGCACUUCAGCAGUUGGCAGUAGCAAGUGGUGCAGCAGGAGGUGGGGACGAGAACGUUGGUGACACAGUGGAAGUUAUUAGGCUAGACGACUUUACUUCAGUGGCAGAGUCCACCAUCACAGAAGGCUUGCUAGACACUGUAAAUACCAAACAAAAUAUAUGUGAAAGUAAUGGAAAAAUUAUUGUGAUAGAAGAAGUUAAUAUUAAAGAGGAAAAAAUGUGUAAUCAUUGAAAGGUGAACAAAAGUGGCAUUGAAAAUAUGGUAAUUGACAUUGUUCUGGGCCGACUAGCCUAAUAAGGGAGAACAUGAACUCUCAGUAGAGCAUUUGUGAUGUGGUAACAGUACAGUGAAUUGUUUACCCUGGAAGCUGUAUUGGGUGUAAAGGCCUAUUGACUUUGUAUGUGACUUCAUUAUAUGGAUGCUGGCAUGAUUAUAUGCAUGGCUACAUAAUUAUACACAUGGUUGUGUGAUUAUACACAUGGUUGUGUGAUUAUAUGCAUGGUUGCGUGUUUAUAUGCAUGGUUGUGUGAUUAUAUGCAAGGUUGCAUGAUGAUACGCAUGGUUAUGUGAUUAUAUGAGUGGUGGUGUUAGACAAUUUCCUACCGGCAUACCUUUAAGGCUUUUAUUUGUAAUUAAACUUAUACACAUGUUUGACACUAACAUUGGAAGGGUUCAGAGCUGAUUUUUGCUUUGGCUCAUUUUCAAAACUAAUUACAGUAAUGAAUAUUAUUUUGUCCUUGAAACAUGAUCUGCCAAUCAGCUUACAUGCAGGCCAUCAGCUUCUGCUUGGGGUGUUGAUGAUGGGGGUAAUGGAGCUUAGUGUGGUGAUGGAGGAGGAAAGGUGCUUGAUGCGACAGUCUCGGUAUAAAGGAGCUGGGUGUGAUGAUGACGAAGUAGAGGAGCUUGGUAACACAGAGUAAGGGAGUUUUGUCCAAACAAUUUCACCCUGUCUUGAGAUUAGAACUGCAGCAUAUACUCUACAUGCUUUUGCUUCGUUGCACCUUUAAAUAGUCUUCGAUUAAGAUGCCUUCCAUACUUGCACAAAUCUUAAGAAAUGAGUAGAUAUAAAUUUAUAAAAACUUAGCAACCUCCAAGCAAUUAGUCAUUUGUGACUCCAUGUGGGUGGGAGGGAGGCAUGCAAGAAAUUAAUCUCCAUCCAGAAUUAAUUUCUUUAUAAUCAGCAUUAUCACUAGGGGAUAAAAGGCAGUGUUGUUAGUAGCUUUGGCAACCUGCAUACAUUCCUUUCCCUUCUAUAAUUGAUUAAGAUUGGCAGUAGAAUUCAUUGUUAAUUUUGGAAGUAAUGUCCUGAAGUUGAAUGUUGCAGUAUCACAUGGUUGACUAAGCUGUAUAGCUUGUCAGCUCGCGUUCUCGCCUCCCUCUCACGCUCGCGACAGUCACCUGUCAAGUCUAUUAUGUAUGGUUUAAUACAAGUAGCUUGGUUUUGGGAUAAUUGUUAUUCAUAGUUUAAUUUGAUCUUAUUCAGCUAGUCAUACAACUCUCUAUACUGUGUGUGGGUUUGAACUAGAGGACAACUUUUAAAAUUUAUGUGAAUUUGAAAAACAAUAAAGUUAAUAAAAUUCUUAAUGUCUGUUUCAAAAUAUUAUUUAUUUGUCUACUUUCCUCGCUGUAUGGAAUGGCACUAUGAGGCUGCUGUGAUAGUAGUGCGUGUGGACAGUCCCUCACGGCGAGUUCCUGCCGUCAGAGAGGCGGGGAAAUGAUACGUGUGCGUAUUGAGUAAUUGCCUCUUGUCUCUCUCAUUAUUAGAGAAUAAAAUGGUUCUUGGUAUACCCUCUCAGGUAUACAGCAAUAAUUAAGUUUGCAUGUAUGGUGCUGUACUGAGCUGUGAAAGGUGUUACCCAAUGCAGAGCACACUCAGACAAAGCUUCAGUGGUAGAUAUACAAGUGUUUUAGCAGUAUAAAACAUAACUUGGAGAAACUGUGCAUCAGAGGUUAUCCUAACUUGGAGAAACUGUACAUCAGAGGUUAUCCUAACUUGGAGAAACUGUGCAUCAGAGGUUAUCCUAACUUGGAGAAACUGUACAUCAGAGGUUAUCCACACACUUUGUUGCGGGUGUUUUAUUUGAGUCGCAGUUGAGGCAUUGUCAUCAUGAUAUUGGCAUCUCAUUUGUCUAUUAAUAUUGUGAUUCAAGAGCAGAUAAGAUCGUUAUGGUCUGAUGUUCCGUCAGUUGCCCCGCUGAUUAUCAUUGAUAGUGUGUAUGCAUGCAUGCAUGCAUGCACAUAUAUAUUGAUAUAUUGCUGCAAAUAGAAUGAUAAAUUGAUUUUGAAUGCACUUAUGUCAAGGGGAUUUAAUAGAGUUUAGACAGCCUUAUCCCAUUCAUUGUUAAGGUAUCAUGUUAAAGUGCCUUUAAGAUUAUUUUUGACACAUGAUUGAUAGAUGUUCUAUGAUUGACAUCAUUAUUCCUGGGUUAUAAUUUUAGCCACUAAUAGCCAUUUAAGUUUUGUAUUUGCAUUUUGGAGUGUGUGUGUGUGUAUGUGUGUACUCAAAUCACACUAUAUACGGGAAAAAUGUAGAGAUAAUGGAAUUGUUGUCUUGAAUCCUUCCACUCAUUUAUAACCUUACCUGUGUGUGUUAAGUGUGUUAACACACACAGAAUACAUUUGUGUCUAUGUCUUGCUAAGAUCAUUAUUAUUGUUUUGACAAGUUUGUUGUAUUUUGACACCUAGUGGUCAAAAUAAAUAAAGAGUGUUUAAUACUUCAUUAAUGUAACUGCGGAACAUUAUAAUCCCUGGAAGGGUGGAUUUCUUAAAGUAAUUAAAGUCAAUUAUUUGGGGUCAAUCUAAGCCAACAAAUUCAUUGUGUGUAUUAAUGCAUGGUAUAUGACUAUUUAAAUAUUGAAUUUGUACAUUUUCUUGCAAUAUAGAUUAAAAUGUAUGCCUAUGGAUGUGCAUUAAAUCAAAUAAAGCUGGGAAAUAUA
rnacentral:misc_RNA from 1 species